AAAAAAGGUAAGCUACUAAGAGCGAAUGGUGGAUGCCUUGACUGGUAAAGGCGAUGAAGGACGUACUAGACUGCGAUAAGCUACGGGGAGCUGUCAAGAAGCUUUGAUCCGUAGAUUUCCGAAUGGGGCAACCCAAUGUAUAGAGAUAUACAUUACCUAUAUAGGAGCGAACGAGGGGAAUUGAAACAUCUUAGUACCCUCAGGAAAAGAAAUCAAUAGAGAUUGCGUCAGUAGCGGCGAGCGAAAGCGCAAGAGGGCAAACCCAGUGCUUGCACUGGGGGUUGUAGGACUGCAAUGUGCAAGAGGUAAGUUUAGCAGAACAUUCUGGAAAGUAUAACCAUAGAGGGUGAUAGUCCCGUAUGCGAAAAACAAACCUUAGCUAGCAGUAUCCUGAGUAGGGCGGGACACGAGGAAUCCUGUCUGAAUCCGGGUCGACCACGAUCCAACCCUAAAUACUAAUACCAGAUCGAUAGUGCACAAGUACCGUGAGGGAAAGGUGAAAAGAACUGAGGUGAUCAGAGUGAAAUAGAACCUGAAACCAUUUGCUUACAAUCAUUCAGAGCCCUAUGUAGCAAUACAGGGUGAUGGACUGCCUUUUGCAUAAUGAGCCUGCGAGUUGUGGUGUCUGGCAAGGUUAAGCAAACGCGAAGCCGUAGCGAAAGCGAGUCUGAAUAGGGCGCUUAGUCAGAUGCUGCAGACCCGAAACGAAGUGAUCUAUCCAUGAGCAAGUUGAAGCUAGUGUAAGAACUAGUGGAGGACUGAACCCAUAGGCGUUGAAAAGCCCCGGGAUGACUUGUGGAUAGGGGUGAAAGGCCAAUCAAACUUCGUGAUAGCUGGUUCUCUCCGAAAUAUAUUUAGGUAUAGCGUUGUGUCGUAAUAUAAGGGGGUAGAGCACUGAAUGGGCUAGGGCAUACACCAAUGUACCAAACCCUAUCAAACUCCGAAUACCUUAUAUGUAAUCACAGCAGUCAGGCGGCGAGUGAUAAAAUCCGUCGUCAAGAGGGAAACAACCCAGACUACCAGCUAAGGUCCCUAAAUCUUACUUAAGUGGAAAACGAUGUGAAGUUACUUAAACAACCAGGAGGUUGGCUUAGAAGCAGCCAUCCUUUAAAGAAAGCGUAAUAGCUCACUGGUCUAGUGAUUUUGCGCGGAAAAUAUAACGGGGCUAAAGUAAGUACCGAAGCUGUAGACUUGCACACAACUUAGAUUAUUUAAGUUUAGAAUAUGAGAAACUAAGUUAUAUGUUUAGUUAUAUUUUUAUAGAGUAAAGAUAGAAAUAAAACUUAGUAAAAUCAGUAAAAAUAUUCUUAGACUAAAGUUAAGUAGUUUAAGUUGUGUGCAAGUGGUAGGAGAGCGUUCUAUUUGCGUCGAAGGUAUACCGGUAAGGAGUGCUGGAGCGAAUAGAAGUGAGCAUGCAGGCAUGAGUAGCGAUAAUUAAUGUGAGAAUCAUUAACGCCGUAAACCCAAGGUUUCCUACGCGAUGCUCGUCAUCGUAGGGUUAGUCGGGUCCUAAGUCGAGUCCGAAAGGGGUAGACGAUGGCAAAUUGGUUAAUAUUCCAAUACCAACAUUAGUGUGCGAUGGAAGGACGCUUAGGGCUAAGGGGGCUAGCGGAUGGAAGUGCUAGUCUAAGGUCGUAGGAGGUUAUACAGGCAAAUCCGUAUAACAAUACUCCGAGAACUGAAAGGCUUUUUGAAGUCUUCGGAUGGAUAGAAGAACCCCUGAUGCCGUCGAGCCAAGAAAAGUUUCUAAGUUUAGCUAAUGUUGCCCGUACCGUAAACCGACACAGGUGGGUGGGAUGAGUAUUCUAAGGCGCGUGGAAGAACUCUCUUUAAGGAACUCUGCAAAAUAGCACCGUAUCUUCGGUAUAAGGUGUGGUUAGCUUUGUAUUAGGAUUUACUCCGAAAGCAAGGAAACUUACAACAAAGAGUCCCUCCCGACUGUUUACCAAAAACACAGCACUCUGCUAACUCGUAAGAGGAUGUAUAGGGUGUGACGCCUGCCCGGUGCUCGAAGGUUAAUUGAUGGGGUUAGCAUUAGCGAAGCUCUUGAUCGAAGCCCGAGUAAACGGCGGCCGUAACUAUAACGGUCCUAAGGUAGCGAAAUUCCUUGUCGGUUAAAUACCGACCUGCAUGAAUGGCGUAACGAGAUGGGAGCUGUCUCAAAGAGGGAUCCAGUGAAAUUGUAGUGGAGGUGAAAAUUCCUCCUACCCGCGGCAAGACGGAAAGACCCCGUGGACCUUUACUACAGCUUGACACUGCUACUUGGAUAAGAAUGUGCAGGAUAGGUGGGAGGCUUUGAGUAUAUGACGCCAGUUGUAUAUGAGCCAUUGUUGAGAUACCACUCUUUCUUAUUUGGGUAGCUAACCAGCUUGAGUUAUCCUCAAGUGGGACAAUGUCUGGUGGGUAGUUUGACUGGGGCGGUCGCCUCCCAAAUAAUAACGGAGGCUUACAAAGGUUGGCUCAGAACGGUUGGAAAUCGUUCGUAGAGUAUAAAGGUAUAAGCCAGCUUAACUGCAAGACAUACAAGUCAAGCAGAGACGAAAGUCGGUCUUAGUGAUCCGGUGGUUCUGUGUGGAAGGGCCAUCGCUCAAAGGAUAAAAGGUACCCCGGGGAUAACAGGCUGAUCUCCCCCAAGAGCUCACAUCGACGGGGAGGUUUGGCACCUCGAUGUCGGCUCAUCGCAUCCUGGGGCUGGAGCAGGUCCCAAGGGUAUGGCUGUUCGCCAUUUAAAGCGGUACGCGAGCUGGGUUCAGAACGUCGUGAGACAGUUCGGUCCCUAUCUGCCGUGGGCGUAAGAAGAUUGAAGAGAUUUGACCCUAGUACGAGAGGACCGGGUUGAACAAACCACUGGUGUAGCUGUUGUUCUGCCAAGAGCAUCGCAGCGUAGCUAAGUUUGGAAAGGAUAAACGCUGAAAGCAUCUAAGCGUGAAGCCAACUCUAAGAUGAAUCUUCUCUAAGCUCUCUAGAAGACUACUAGUUUGAUAGGCUGGGUGUGUAAUGGAUGAAAGUCCUUUAGCUGACCAGUACUAAUAGAGCGUUUGGCUUAUCUUUAAUAAAGCAU
rnacentral:rRNA from 1 species